rnacentral:rRNA from 1 species
AGUGAACGCUGGCGGUAGGCCUAACACAUGCAAGUCGAACGGCAGCACAGUAAGAGCUUGCUCUUACGGGUGGCGAGUGGCGGACGGGUGAAGAAUACAUCGGAAUCUACUUUUUCGUGGGGGAUAACGUAGGGAAACUUACGCUAAUACCGCAUACGACCUACGGGUGAAAGCAGGGGAUCUUCGGACCUUGCGCGAUUGAAUGAGCCGAUGUCGGAUUAGCUAGUUGGCGGGGUAAAGGCCCACCAAGGCGACGAUCCGUAGCUGGUCUGAGAGGAUGAUCAGCCACACUGGAACUGAGACACGGUCCAGACUCCUACGGGAGGCAGCAGUGGGGAAUAUUGGACAAUGGGCGCAAGCCUGAUCCAGCUAUACCGCGUGGGUGAAGAAGGCCUUCGGGUUGUAAAGCCCUUUUGUUGGGAAAGAAAAGCAGCAGGUUAAUACCCCGCUGUUCUGACGGUACCCAAAGAAUAAGCACCGGCUAACUUCGUG